CACGUAGGGGGCAAGCGUUGUCCGGAUUUAUUGGGCGUAAAGAGCGUGUAGGCGGCCUGGAAGGUCAGCUGUGAAAACUCGAGGCUCAACCUCGAGACGUCGGUUGAAACCACCUGGCUAGAGUCCGGAAGAGGAGAGUGGAAUUCCCGGUGUAGCGGUGAAAUGCGCAGAUAUCGGGAAGAACACCCGUGGCGAAGGCGGCUCUCUGGGACGGUACUGACGCUGAGACGCGAAAGCGUGGGGAGCGAACAGG
rnacentral:rRNA from 1 species